UUAGAAACUUGUUUAAAUACGUAUCGUUAUGGUAUAUAUGUUAGCCAUUGUAUUAAACACGCGUUAGUAACACGCCUCAGAUGCGUUUAGAAACAAGUAAGCAAUACGAUGCCUACAGAAUAUCAAACCCGCAUUUAAAACUCUUUAAAAUAAUUACAGAUAUUAUAUAAAACGAUGUUUUCUUGGUAUUAAAUGCGUAUUUGAAAUAUUCCAGAAUACGUGUUAUUUGCUAAUAUUUGUUUGUCUUUUUACUAAGUAGAAUGCGUACCAGAUAAGCGAUGAUACUCCAACGAAGGUUUCUAGAAAUGAGCAGUAAAACAUUUGAAACGUCACAUACCAGAGUAUUGAAUCCUUGUAAAUGUCAAUACUAUAUCCAUUUCCUGAAGAGAAUCUGGUAUUUUACUACACAAAUGAGAAUUUAUUUUUAACGUUGAUAUACUUUUAUGCUCUUUCUGUAAGUUAUUCUGCACGUACUUUCCUUUUUAUAUUAUGUUUAUUGUCGCUGUUUGUUAUAAUACUGUUGUUGUUGUUGUGCUUUAUGUAUAAUAAAAUGAGUAUUUUUGUAUUAUUAUAUUAUUUGUUUAUUACUUUAUUCUCAUCGCGACAAUGGCAAUCAAAUUGUUUGGGUUUAACAUUUAAAUUUUUUUUCUACCUAAUCCAUUUAUUAAUGCAAGUUUUUACGUAAACACAAGAAAAAGUUCUGUGGUUUCUUCCCGAUGGGAAAUCGGCUAGCGAAUAGCUAGCUAUAAUCGUUACGAUAAAGACAGCGAUUUGACGAAAAGCUAUUGAUAUUUGUAAAGAUAAAGACAGCGAUUUGGCUACGAGGACAGCUAGCUUAAUAGACUAAAGACUCACAGGCUGUUGUAGCUACCGUGAUAUCGUAAUAAAAUCGCUAUUAAAAAAAUUUUGGUGCAAGUUGCAUUUCUUCAUAAAAUGCCGAGAAAGUCUUGUAUUUGGGAUUUCUUUGAAAUGACUGACACUACUCAUGCAAAGUAUAAUGCGUGCGAAAAGGAACUUGCUGCUAAAGCCUACUUCAGGUCUUAUUAAUCAUCUAAAAAGGCAGCACUGCCAUGUGUUUUCGGCAUAUGAGAAACUCAAUUAUGCUCAACAGAUUGGAAAAAAGUCUCGCGUUAUUGAUGAUGACGACUCUUCAGAAACCAAUUUCAUCAGUACACCCAAAUAAUCUCGUCUUUUUGCCUCUCCUGAGUUGUACUCUCAAUUUUUAACAUCAUCUGUGAUAUUUACAGAAAACCUGUCUUGGAACAACUAAGAUGUCAUAUCACAGCUA